rnacentral:rRNA from 1 species
CGAAGGGGCUAGCGUUGUUCGGAAUCACUGGGCGUAAAGGGCGCGUAGGCGGCGGUUCAAGUCGGGGGUGAAAGCCUGUGGCUCAACCACAGAAUGGCCUUCGAUACUGGACGGCUCGAGACCGGAAGAGGUCAGUGGAACUGCGAGUGUAGAGGUGAAAUUCGUAGAUAUUCGCAAGAACACCAGUGGCGAAGGCGGCUGACUGGUCCGGUUCUGACGCUGAGGCGCGAAAGCGUGGGGAGCAAACAGGAUUAGAUACCCUGGUAGUCCACGCCGUAAACGAUGGAUGCUAGCCGUUGGCGCGCUUGCGCGUCAGUGGCGCCGCUAACGCUUUAAGCAUCCCGCCUGGGGAGUACGGUCGCAAGAUUA